rnacentral:rRNA from 1 species
CUGAACCAGCCAAGUAGCGUGAAGGAUGAAGGCUCUAUGGGUCGUAAACUUCUUUUAUAUAAGAAUAAAGUGCAGUAUGUAUACUGUUUUGUAUGUAUUAUAUGAAUAAGGAUCGGCUAACUCCGUGCCAGCAGCCGCGGUAACACGGAGGAUCCGAGCGUUAUCCGGAUUUAUUGGGUUUAAAGGGAGCGUAGGCGGACGCUUAAGUCAGUUGUGAAAGUUUGCGG